rnacentral:rRNA from 1 species
AAAACAACCGUGAUUCUCUCAGUGAGCGGCGAGCGAAGAGGGACCGAACUCGUUGCCGAAUCGGGUCUUACAAGGCCUUGAGUUGUGGCAAGAACGUAACUUCGUGGUUGGUGCAGGAGUGGCGAAAUUCAAGCGCAAAGCAAACCCAUUGCUGAAUACAACCCUUCAUGUGAGUAUUGAGCCAAAGAAGGUGUUAGCCCAUUGAGCCACAAACCUGAGCGCCUCACUAAGUUUACCAAGAGAGUAGCACUGUUUGGGAAUGCAGUGUCAAGCUGGCAGGUAUUUGUCUGCUAAAGUUAAUACAGAGUAGGAAGACCGAUAGCGAACAAGUAGCGUGAGCGAAAGUUUGAAAAGCACUUUGGAAAGAGAGUGACAUAGAACCUGAAAUCGUGACAAUGACAAUGGAAGUACCUCCAUUU